rnacentral:rRNA from 1 species
GACGAACGCUGGCGGCGUGCCUAAUACAUGCAAGUCGAACGCUUCUUUCCUCCCGAGUGCUUGCACCCAAUUGGAAAGAGGAGUGGCGGACGGGUGAGUAACACGUGGGUAACCUACCCAUCAGAGGGGGAUAACACUUGGAAACAGGUGCCAAUACCGCAUAACAGUUUAUAGCCGCAUGGCAUAAGAGUGAAAGGCGCUUUCGGGUGUCGCUGAUGGAUGGACCCGCGGUGCAUUAGCUAGUUGGUGAGGUAACGGCUCACCAAGGCCACGAUGCAUAGCCGACCUGAGAGGGUGAUCGGCCACACUGGGACUGAGACACGGCCCAG